rnacentral:misc_RNA from 1 species
UGGCUCUCGCAUCGAUGAAGAACGCAGCGAAAUGCGAUAAGUAAUGUGAAUUGCAGAAUUCAGUGAAUCAUCGAAUCUUUGAACGCAUCUUGCGCUCCUUGGUAUUCCGAGGAGCAUGCCUGUUUGAGUGUCAUGAAUAUCUCAACCCUUCCAGGUCUAAUCGAUCUGUGAUGGGCUUGGACUUGGGAGUUUGUAGGCUGCAUGAGUAGUCUACUCUCCUUAAAUAUAUUAGCUGGAUCACUCUCUUACACUUACCAGCCGGUGUGAUAAAUAUCUACAUCGCAUGGUCUUGUAUACAAUGCAGUGUUACCCUGUUCAUUCAGUGAUGUAGCCUCGUGUUACCCUGUUCUCAGUGAUGUAGCCUCGUUGGAGUGUCUGCUUAUAACUGUCUACCAACUAGUCGCGACACCUUCACUGGAAGGCCGAUUUAGUGGACACCAUUAUUAUGACAUCUGACCUCAAAUCAGGUAGGACUACCCGCUGA